rnacentral:rRNA from 2 species
CUGGCUCAGGACGAACGCUGGCGGCGUGCUUAACACAUGCAAGUCGAACGAUGAAGCCC